UACGAAGGGGGCUAGCGUUGUUCGGAAUUACUGGGCGUAAAGCGCGCGCAGGCGGCCAUUCAAGUCAGGGGUGAAAGCCCAGAGCUCAACUCUGGAACUGCCCUUGAAACUGUAUGGCUUGAGUAUGAGAGAGGUGAGUGGAAUUCCCAGUGUAGAGGUGAAAUUCGUAGAUAUUGGGAAGAACACCGGUGGCGAAAGCGGCUCACUGGACCAUAACUGACGCUGAUGCACGAAAGCUAGGGGAGCAAACAGG
rnacentral:rRNA from 1 species